rnacentral:lncRNA from 1 species
CACACUUCUCACACGCAUCGCAUCGGGCAUCACGCCCAGAGCACACUGAGGACACUUGGCCCAGCCUGGUGCUGAAACGUUUGUGUCCGGCGUCCGCGGAGAAGGGAUCUUCCACAGAGGACACCUGGGGUAAACGGGACACACGGAGUCACCGCUGCACCGCACAUUCUCCUUAAAAGCAGCAACCUCGCCUUCGCUCAAGGCUCUCGGUGUGAUGUGUGUGUCCUUCGUGAGACGCCGUCCACGCCAAGGCCAGGAAGACCAAGCCUCCUGAAGUCGCUGGGCACCCACCUGAGAUGCCCAGCGCUGGCCCACGUCCCCACUGUUUCUGAACCAAGUCAUCCACAACAAAAUGCACCCUCUCCCAGGAACCACAGACACGGAGCUGAAAACAACUCAGCGAGCAAGCCCACAAUGGCAGAGCCAGGGAGAGGCGCUCCCCGGCAUGGUCACCCAGGGACAGCACCACGGGAGGCCGGGCAGCUGACCGCACACCAGGGCCUAGCAGCGCCGGGACUGGGCGCCCGGAGCUGAGCAGCAGAGAAGCACCGCUGGCCCACCCAGCACCGCAAGGCUGGGGAUUCCCCCGCCAGGGACAGGGCUCAGGGCUGGGGUCUCAGGGCCUCGGCUCUCAGGGCCCUUCCGGCUGGAGGCUCCACGACCUGUUCGACACAUGCGGGGCAGGAUCCUGGGGGACGGGAACCGGGAUCUAUUUUUGCCGUUAAGACCCUCCUGGUUUCCCCGGAUCCCUCUGGUCCCUCUCCCUGCACGGGGCGGGACUAGGUUUCAUCCCAGCCUUCCCCAUCCAAGC